rnacentral:misc_RNA from 1 species
AAAGAUAUUAGAUGGUAAAAGAUCUUUGAAUGAUGGAAAUCUAUUGUUGGCUAAACAAGAGGAUCCAAUUUGGAAACCUAAGUGACAACUAUUAGGCUUACAAACUACAACAAUGAGAACAAGAUUUUCCAUACCGAGCCACUUUGUUAUACCACACUUGCAUAACUUUUAGCUUUUUCUCCUCAUAAAGCCAUCAAAACACAUCUCUAAGAACUAGGGUUAAGCACAAUACAGUUAUAACCGAAAAACUAAACCAAAUCGAUUCAAUUCGGUUUAUGGUCUAAUCAGUUCGAUUUUAGUUGUCAGUUUAAGAAAAUAUCAGUUUUCAUACUGAUUAGUUUAGUCAAAAAAAACCAAAUUAACCAAACCUAUAUAAUGCUACAUCAUUUUGCUUGGAUAUAAAGCCGUCAACUGAAGACAUUUCUUUCUCUCACACAGUCACAUUCACAUUCUUGUCUCUCACUAUUGCACUAUAACCAUCUAUAUUUACUCUCAAGUUACAAAAAUCUCCAUUAG